rnacentral:rRNA from 1 species
AACGAACGCUGGCGGCAGGCUUAACACAUGCAAGUCGAACGCCCCGCACGGGGAGUGGCAGACGGGUGAGUAACGCGUGGGAAUCUACCCAGAUCUACGGAACAACAGUUGGAAACGACUGCUAAUACAGUAUACGCCCUACGGGGGAGAGAUUUAUCGGAUUUGGAUGGGCCCGCGUAAGAUUAGCUAGUUGGUGGGGUAAUGGCCUACCAAGGCGACGAUCUUUAGCUGGUCUGAGAGGAUGAUCAGCCACACUGGGACUGAGACACGGCCCAGACUCCUACGGGAGGCAGCAGUGGGGAAUAUUGGACAAUGGGCGCAAGCCUGAUCCAGCCAUGCCGCGUGAGUGAUGAAGGCCUUAGGGUUGUAAAGCUCUUUCAGUAGGGAAGAUAAUGACGGUACCUACAGAAGAAGCCCCGGCUAACUUCGUGCCAGCCGCCGCCGUAAUAC